AUCAUCUUUUGAAGCAACGUUUUCUCCAGAUGCUUUGCCAUCAGCCAGAUCCUCUGACGGCUGUAGUGUUUGGCUGGGUUUCCGCUUUAACCCUGCUUCAUGGCGCCGCUCAUGUCGCCGCCGGUUAAUCUGUGUGCCAAAGGCUUUCCCACAGGGUUGCUAGUUCUGGAGGCACCUCCUGACUGGCCACCUCCUGGAGGGUGGCCGGCUGCUCAAGUGCUGAGGCUGAAGGCUUCUCUUCGUCUUCUUUAGGACCUAGAAAGCACAUGGAAGCAGAAGCAUGGAAGUGAAGCAUGGGAAACCAGCUACUUGGUGAACAAUCUGAAUGAUUCAAGUUAUUUCUCUUACCACCUAAAACAUAAGGGAGAUGAUGAUGAACAAUAAAUUACUUCUACUUUAUAUACUUAA
rnacentral:lncRNA from 1 species